rnacentral:rRNA from 1 species
GAUGAACGCUGGCGGCGUGCCUAAUACAUGCAAGUCGAGCGAACAGACGAGGAGCUUGCUCCUCUGACGUUAGCGGCGGACGGGUGAGUAACACGUGGAUAACCUACCUAUAAGACUGGGAUAACUUCGGGAAACCGGAGCUAAUACCGGAUAAUAUAUUGAACCGCAUGGUUCAAUAGUGAAAGACGGUUUUGCUGUCACUUAUAGAUGGAUCCGCGCCGCAUUAGCUAGUUGGUAAGGUAACGGCUUACCAAGGCAACGAUGCGUAGCCGACCUGAGAGGGGGAUCGGCCACAGGGGAACUGAGACACGGUCCAGACUCCUAGGGGAGGCAGCAGUAGGGAAUCUUCCGAAAGGGGCGAAAGCCUGACGGAGCAACGCCGGGGGGGGGAUGAAGGUUUUCGGAUGGAAAAACUCUUUUAUUAGGGAAAAAAAAAUGGGUAAGUAACUAGGCACGUUUUGACGGUACCAAAUCAAAAAGCCCCGGCUAACUACGU